AAAUAGGGGCAAAACGCAAAUGUGUUGUGUUUAUAAAUUUGCACAGUGUAGUAUGAGGGUAAGACAGCAGGCAGAACAUAGGAAAGAUGAUUGUACAGUGUACAGCAACAUGUUCUAUGUGCAGUAAAAGAGUUCAGAGUGUAUUAAAGGGGAAUUAUGUGCAAAGGACAACCUCAGGAUAUUACAGGGGAUGGGUGCAUGACGGAGUGUAGAAGGCAUGACAAUGGACAGUAUGUGCAGCCAAUUAAUUAUUCAAUCAAUGAAUCCUUAUAAUCUCCUGAGUGCAGUGUGGUCUGUUAGAUGACCCCUGACAUCUCAGUGUGCGCUGACUCUUUUCCCUUGGUAAGCAUACCACCACAUUAGACCACCAUAUCAAACUGUAAUAUCUUUGUUUUGGACAAAUUUUACAGACCCUCUCCACCUUUUGUAGAUUGUGGAUAAGACAUUCCUGAACCCAGUGUUUCACUUUGUGAAACCUGGUCUUUAUUAACCUGAUAAAAAAAUUCAAUGGAUAUGUCACUGCCUUUGGUUUGAAAAGGUGCCCGGCCCUCUCCCUGGUCUACUACCAUCAGUGGUGUUACCCCUAUUCAGUGAUUCCCUCUACAACAUAACCUCUGAAGAAGACCCGAUUAAGGGUUGAAACGCGUUAGAAACUGCCAUAUGCUUGUACCCACCCACGCCAAGCUGUAUGACAUUUUGUUGUUUUCUUUUUGCUAUCUCUAUGUAUGGAAUUUUAAUUAUUUUUGUAUUACCGCAACUCAUAUCUUAACUACUACUUUAUCCUUUUUGUACGUGUUAUUACACAAUAAAACCCUCUUUUUUA